AAGUCGUAACAAGGUCUCCGUUGGUGAACCAGCGGAGGGAUCAUUACCGAGUUUACAACUCCCAAACCCCUGUGAACAUACCUUAACGUUGCCUCGGCGGAUCAGCCCGCUCCCGGUAAAACGGGACGGCCCGCCAGAGGACCCAAACCCUAUUGUUUUUAGUGUAUCUUCUGAGUAACAUAAACAAAUAAAUCAAAACUUUCAACAACGGAUCUCUUGGUUCUG
rnacentral:misc_RNA from 1 species